UACGUAGGGUGCGAGCGUUGUCCGGAAUUAUUGGGCGUAAAGGGCUCGUAGGCGGUUUGUCGCGUCGGGAGUGAAAACCAUGGGCUUAACUCAUGGCUUGCUUUCGAUACGGGCAGACUAGAGGUAUGCAGGGGAGAACGGAAUUCCUGGUGUAGCGGUGAAAUGCGCAGAUAUCAGGAGGAACACCGGUGGCGAAGGCGGUUCUCUGGGCCGUAACUGACGCUGAGGAGCGAAAGCGUGGGGAGCGAACAGG
rnacentral:rRNA from 1 species